GGUUCUGGCAUCGAUGAAGAACGCAGCGAAAUGCGAUAAGUAAUGUGAAUUGCAGAAUUCAGUGAAUCAUCGAAUCUUUGAACGCACAUUGCGCCCGCCAGUAUUCUGGCGGGCAUGCCUGUUCGAGCGUCAUUUCAACCAUCAAGCCCCCGGCUUGUGUU
rnacentral:rRNA from 1 species